rnacentral:rRNA from 1 species
UACGUAGGUGGCAAGCGUUGUCCGGAUUUAUUGGGUUUAAAGGGUGCGUAGGCGGCCUAUUAAGUCAGUUCUGAAAUAUCCCGGCUUAACCGGGAGGGUGGGAUUGAUACUGAUGGGCUUGAGUGGAGUCGAGGUAGGCGGAAUUGACGGUGUAGCGGUGAAAUGCUUAGAUAUCGUCAAGAAUACCGAUAGUGUAGACAGCUUACUAGACUUCAACUGACGCUGAGGCACGAAAGUGUGGGGAUCAAACAGG